AACGAACGCUGGCGGCAUGCCUAACACAUGCAAGUCGAACGAGACCUUCGGGUCUAGUGGCGCACGGGUGCGUAACGCGUGGGAACCUGCCCUUAGGUUCGGAAUAACUCCCCGAAAGGGGUGCUAAUACCGGAUAAUGUCUUCGGACCAAAGAUUUAUUGCCUUUGGAUGGGCCCGCGUUGGAUUAGCUAGUUGGUAGGGUAAAAGCCUACCAAGGCGACGAUCCAUAGCUGGUCUGAGAGGAUGAUCAGCCACACUGGGACUGAGACACGGCCCAGACUCCUACGGGAGGCAGCAGUGGGGAAUAUUGGACAAUGGGCGAAAGCCUGAUCCAGCAAUGCCGCGUGAGUGAUGAAGGCCUUAGGGUUGUAAAGCUCUUUUAGCCGGGAUGAUAAUGACAGUACCGGGAGAAUAAGCUCCGGCUAACUCCGUG
rnacentral:rRNA from 1 species